rnacentral:misc_RNA from 1 species
GUAAACGUUAACAGGGCGGCGUUGCUGCAGGGCGACCGCCGACGUGCGAUGACUACAUAUCGCCGCAUGACGCUAUGCGACACGCUGCAGUUUAAUUUUGUAAAUUUGGAUCAACUAACAGAGACGUACAAUACGUCCUUCUAUGGCGAGUAUGUGACGCACUGGCCGGAGUACCAGCGCAUGUGCGUGCACCCAACCACCGGUAUUCCCAUGGCCUACACCCUCGGCAAAGCGGAAGGACAGGGGGAGGACUAUCACGGACACGUGUCCGCCGUUUCCGUGGCGCCAACGUUUCGGCGCGUCGCCCUCGGCGAGACCCUCAUGGCCGAGUUGGCGCAGAUGAGCGAGCUCGUGCACAAUGCCUACUUUGUGGACCUCUUCGUCCGCAAAAGUAACCAGGUUGCGCAGGACAUGUACCAUCGACUGGGCUACAUUGUCUACCGGACGGUGCUAAACUACUAUCACGGCGACGGCCCCAAAGGCCCCUUCAAGAGUGAUGAGGACGCACUGGACAUGCGGCUUGCCCUGCGGCGUGACAAGGAGCGGCGAAAAAGUAGCGUCAUUCCCCUAGACCGACCCAUCAAACCCGAAGAACUGGAGUGGGUGUGAGUACUCGGGUGUCGCACACACUGUAAAACGCCCCCGCCGGCUCUGUCACGCAAGAAACGAGAGCAAAAAGACCGGUAGACUAUAUCACGCACAAUCACCGCGUGUGCGUCUCCCUGGGUGAAGACACCCAUCGCACCCUUCGACAGCCGCCCUUAUGCCUAUUCACCGUCUGUAGAACACACAAGAGGAAUAGCCCGGUGCCGCGUGCAAGACUGCGGCUUCUGCACGCACUAUGCUCGUUUCCGCCUCUCUCUCUUUGUGCGCGUGUGUGUGUGUGUGUCGGAGUGGCCCUCCCGUUACGUCUUUUGGGGGUGGGUGAUAGCGGCAGAUGCUGCUUCGACCUUGUGCGCCGCACCGGUGCCGUUGGCUACACUGCGGAAGGCAACACAGAACACACCCUGUGCCAUUUCUUCUUUUUUUUUUGCUUUCACCCACCUUUUCCCCGUGCUUCCCCAUCUUUCCCCCUCUUUCCCUAACGUACAUUGCACCUCUCCUUAUCGUGCAGUCAC